UGGACCUCAGAUCAGGCAAGACCACCCGCUGAGUUUAAGCAUAUCACUAAGCGGAGGAAAAGAA
rnacentral:rRNA from 1 species